rnacentral:tRNA from 1 species
CAGGGAGACAACAAAAUGUUAAAUAUUAAUUUUGUCACCUUAGGUCGAUCGGUAUCUCACGUUCUUAAUUUAUUAAGAAUUUCAUUUCCUAAGUUUUUCUAGGUCACACCCAUUAUUUUCCUGGGCCAUUAGCUCAGGUGGUUAGAGCGCACCCCUGAUAAGGGUGAGGUCCCUGGUUCAAGUCCAGGAUGGCCCAUAUCUCUAUGUUGGGGGUAUAGCUCAGUUGGUAGAGCGCCUGCUUUGCAAGCAGGAUGUCAGCGGUUCGAGUCCGCUUACCUCCACUGAUUACCACCUCUUCCAUAUCUAUAGAAAGGAAAUUUUUUGAGUUGUGAUCAAAUUCUGAACGAAUCUAGCUUCCUAAUGAAAUCAUUAAGAUGCUGGACUCAUUGAAUUAAAUUCAUUGUUUUCAGAGAACCUUGACAACAGCAUAGAUUAUUUUUAAAGACAAUAAGCAUCUUUAAUGAUGCAGAUUUAUUAUUUGUGCGAACGCACUAAUAACAAUUCUAUUAAGCUGAUGCUUCAAUUUUGAAGUUAUU